rnacentral:lncRNA from 10 species
CACAAGUGGCUACCUUCUCGGGUUCACUUUCACGUUGUGAAGCUUUGUUCUUUCAUCACUGUUUGCAGUAUAUUUUGCUGCUGCUUACUCUUGGGGUCCAUGCCACCUUAAGAACUGUAACACUCAACCAUAAAGGUAUGGAGCUUCACUGCUGAAAUCAGCGAGACCACGAACCCACCAGAAGGAAGAAACUCUGAACGCGUCUGAACAUCAGAAGGAACAAACUCCAGACACACCAUUUUUAAGAACCGUAACACUCACCUCGAGGGUCCACGGCUUCAUUCUUGAAGUCAGUGAGACCAAGAACCCACCAAUUCCGGACACAGCAGGAUAAGAAAGGAAAAUGGGGACUUGUUUUACACAUGAUUUGAAAGAUGGUUGAAUCCAUGGAUGUGGAACCCACGGAUAUGGAGGGCUGAUUUUGUUCAACUAUGCUAAUCCUUUGGCCAGGUCACAUCCCUGUACUUCAGCUACUUUAUAAUCUGAAAGCUGUUCCUGCAUGGAAAGGAUAUCCCAUGAUUCUCCUACCACCAGAUGCUACUGAGGCUAAACUGAUUAGACUGAGUAAAAAUAUCUAUGGGGAAAACUGUCUUUCAGAAUCCUACUUUGAACUAGAGAAAUCCAUUCUCUUGAGGCUGUCUGCUGUGGAGAAGUUGGCCUUAUCAAUCUGCCUUUGGAGUUCAAGUUAUACAGGAUCUGCAAGGCUACCUGUGACUGAAUGGUUGGUUGGUCAUUACAAAGUUUUUCAGGAGCUCCUGAAAGAUUACUGCAUAAGCAAGGGAGGAUGGAGACCAGACCUCUGGCUACUGUUGCUGCCACCACCACAGCCACCACUUUCAUCCUCGUGAACCCCCUAUUUACUGCACACUCUCUAUAUGCCAGGUACCAGGCUCCACACCUGUGAAAUAGGGGACUGUUAUUUCCCCUAUUUUAUAAAAGAGGAGCUGAGGCUCAGAGAGAUUAUGUUACUUGCCCAAGAUCACAUAGCUAGUAAGUGGCAGAGAUGAGUUUCUGUCUGAGUCCAGCUUACACCCUAACUGAUAUUCUUGAAAAUCAGGCUGGAGAGAAAAUGAUAAGAUGUGAGAAUUUUGGUGCUAUGAUUUGAAUUUUCCUUCAAAAGCUCAUGUUGAAACUUAAUCCCAAAUGUAACAGUACUAAUAGGUGGGGUCUUUAACAUGGAGUCCCAGAAUUGGAUCGUGAGGGCUCUGCCCUAAUGAAUGAAUUACUCCAUUCAUGAUUAAUGGAUUAAUGGAUCAUCAUGGGAGUGGAACAGUGGCUUUAUAAGAAGAAGAAGAGAGACCUGAGGUAGAACACUCAGCGCCCUUGCCAUGUGAUGCUCUGUACUGCCUUGGGACUCUGCAGAGGCUCUCUACUAGCAAGAAGGUCCUCACCAGAUGCAGCCCCUUGACCUUGGCCUUCUUAGCUUCUACAACUGUAGUAAAUAAUUUUUUCUUUAUAAAUUACCCAGUUUUGGGUGUUCUAUUAUAAGCAAUGAAAACCAGACAAAUACAUUGAGUUAUAAUCAUGAUAUUUAAGAUGGAGGAAAAUAAACAUGGAAAACACUAGAGAAAUGAAUGCUAAACUAGAGCACAAGCAUUGGGACUGUGAAAAAAAGAGAUAUUUGAAAUAUUUUAAAGAUAUGGAAUUUAAAAGAUUAUGAAACAGAUAAAGUAUAAGAGAAAGAGAGAAAAUGAAAAAUGAUCCCAAGAUUGCAAACCCUUAGUAUUAUUGAAACACUCAUAGCUGGGGAAAAAAGUCAAAAGGAAGAGCUGGCUUGUGGGUACAGAUGGAGAAAUCCGGAUUUAUUGAAACUAUUUUUUUUGCCAGUGGGGUAUUUGUGUAAAAAUAGCUAUUCAUUUGUUCUCAUUCACUUAGCACGUAAAGAACACACCUAGGCAUUAGAAACACAUAAGAAAAUUUAUUUCUGUAUACAUUUAGAAAUGUGGAUCUGAAAGAUCAAGAUUUUGAGUUUCAUUCAUUUAUGUGUUGAGGUCUUUCCAAAGUAUGUGAUAAAUUAAGCAGAAAGGACAGAGAAAUUCAUGAAAAUAGGUAUGAUCAUCAAGGAAAACAAUAAAAAACAGAAGGUAAAAGGCCAAACUUAAGGGAGUGCCUAUAUUAAGGGACAUGGCAGGGAGGAAAAAUAAUUUGAAAAGAAGUUGUCAAGGUGGGAAGAGAGCAGGACAAAACAGAGUCUCAGAAUUAGAUGUAUGAGACAGAUUUUAGGAAGAAGAGAGGGUUCAGUAGUGCCCAAGACCACAGAGCUGUCAAGGAUGGUAAAGAACAUUUAUGGGGGUGUUUUGGAGGUUUAAAGGAUGAGGUAGUUUGCAUUUUUUUUUUUUUUUUGAGAUGGAGUCUUGCUCUGUCACCCAGGCUGGAGUGCAGUGGCACAAUCUCCGCUUGCUGCAAACUCCGCCUCCUGGGUUCAAGCGAUUCUCCUGCCUCAGCCUCCGGAGUAGCUGGGACUACAGGCAUGCACCACCACUCCCGGCUAAUUUUUGUAUUUUUAGUAGAGACGGGGUUUCACCAUAUUGGUCCAGCUAGUCUCGAACUCCUGACCUCAUGAUCUGCCUGCCUCGGCCUUCCAAAGUGCUGGGAUUAAGGCGUAAGCCACUGCGCCUGGUAUACAUUUAUUCUUUUAAGAAGCCUGGCAAAAGGGAGAGAGAAGAAAGGCAGUCCUAUAGAGGUCAGAGGGACAUAGGGAGGUCUUUUUUCAGGGUAAGCAAGCUUACAAAUGGACCAGUGAGAGAGAGGCAUUCUGGAUGAAGCAGGAUUGUGGGAGGUAGGUAUUUUGCUGGAAGAAGAUGCUGGAGUAGGUGGAGGGAAUGGGGGCAGGGAUGUG